rnacentral:lncRNA from 1 species
CCUAUAAUUUUGGCAAUGAUCUAAGCACCCUUCUCAUAAGAUCAUUGUUAAGAUAAGAUUUUUAAAAAUUUUUAAGAUCAUUAAUAAUAUUCAUAAACUGAGUAAUUAUUUCAAUAAUAUAUCUAUUUAAUUUUAUUUUAAAAAUUUAUAUUUAUGAAUAAAUAUAUUAAUUUUUGAUUAUUUAAGAAAAGAUAUACUUUGGUCAGUAUAGUCUCUAGAUCCUAACGAUGAAGAUCAAUCUGGCGAAAAUACGACAUCGUUGCCGCUAGCGCACACCAUCGACGCCACUAGCGCAUGCCAUUGACGAACACCAGUCAUGAAAUGCCACGAUCUCAUCCUCAUUGGUUAAUCAGCCAGAUUCGUUGGAGUACGGAGAUGGGAUGCUAUCUGCCUUCGCCGGAGUAUGGACGGGGAGA